CUGCUAAGCCUGUGGAGGCAAUUAAAUGAGAAACAAUGCUUUACACCUUCACCCACUAGAAGGAAAGGCAUCAGGACUAUAGAUAAGAUUACUCCACAGGUAUGGAGGCUAGAAGAUGUCUUAAUAACAUCUGAAAUAUCAUCCACCUCAGGGGGCCCAGGUAGCCACGGACAGGCCUCCAGAAGAAGAAGUAGUAGUAAAAACAACACUAACUAUUCAAGGGAGGUUUUGGCAAGUCCUGAUCUUUGGAAGGGUGUCAUAUGAAUGCAGGAUUGUGUUGAGGAUCUAAAGGCUCCUGACUGAAAAAUGAUCCUGGAAUGGAACAAAGUAUUCUGACAGUUUUAAGGUAAGUGUAGAGAGGGUGUCUUGUAGAGAGAGCUGACCUUGGUAGUUUAUCUUGGUUUUGCAAGGACUUGUUUUGCAAGCAGGUUUUCCACUCGGGCUCUGUAUCAUGUGUUGGCCACAUGGGUAUAGCGUGCAAGUGGAAAAAACACUGCAGACCCAGGGGAAAAUAAAAGCAGGAGAGAGGCUGCAGUGGGGGAGAGAGGAAAAGUGCACUAUGAAGCACAGGAUUCUCUGCUGACACUACCUAUCAAAUCCACUGCCAUGUUCCUUCUCUUUCCUAUUCAGCAGUUUGCUGUCUCUCAAGGGUUGGGAAGAAUGAAAAGAAAAUGAAGACUGGGUACGAACCUGAAGACUGAAGACGAACCUCUGCUGUCCUGUGCCUUGAACAUCAAUGCUGUUGCAAAGAAGUGAAAGGUUUCCUGAUGCAGUCGCAUUUUCCAGGGAAAAGGAAUCAAAACAGCAGAAAAUAGAUCCAAGACAGGCCACAGCAGACACAGCCAAGAAAAGAGCGUCUUGUUAUGUACCUCUGCUGGACAAGAAGAUGAAGGCCUUCUCAGCUCAUGCAGGAGACAUUAUAUCACCAAAGCCAAGCACAAAGACUUUUACUACUCUUACUUAUAGUUGGUUUCAAUAAGUCUGUUGUUAGGAGCAACUUUUCAAAGGUCCUCCUCAUGGAUAUGUUGCUCAUUCUUCCUCGUCAGCUUUGUUCUGAAACAAACAAAAGGUGUAAUUAUCCACCCCAAACCCUCUGUACUGGAGGUUCUCCCUAGCCUUCCUCUUACUGUUGAUGUAUUUAUAGAAACAUUUAGUAUUGUCUUUCACCUUAAUGACCAAGUUUAGUUCUAGCUGGGCUUUGUCCUUCCUAAUUUUCUCCCUGCACAGCUUCACUAUGUAUUUGCAAUCCUCAUGAGUUGCUUGCCCCCUGUUCCAAAGACCAUAAACUUUUCUUUUGUUCCUGAGUUCCAGCCAAAGGUCUCUGUUCAAUAAGACCUGUCUCCUUCUCCAUUGGCUCAUCUUCCAUGUCUUGGGGAUGGUCAGCUCCUGCACCUUUAAAAUAACUUCCUUAAGGUUUUCCUAGCUUUCCUGGGCUCCCAUGCGCUCCAGAACUACCUCCCAAGGGACACCCUCAACCAUGGUCUGAAAAAGACCAAAGUCUGCCCUCUAGAACUCCGAGGUGGCAGUUCUGCUGACUCCCCUCUGUUCUUCAGCAAGGAUCAAAAAAAUCUAUCAUUUCCAGAUCACUUUGCCCCAGACAGCCUCCAACCUUCACAUCCCUCACAAGACCUUCUCUGUUAACAAGCAGCAUGCGCAGGAGUUUUCUUUUCCUCGUUGGCUCCCUCACCAUCUGUGUUAGGAAGUUAUCAUACAUACACUAGGGACUGUUCCCUGUCUGCUGUAUUAUAAUUCCAGCAGAUGUCUGGGAAGUUGAAGUCCCCCAUGAGACCAAGGGGUAGAGACUGCAAGACUUCACCCAACUGUGUAUAAAGUAUCUUAUCCACCGCUUCAUCCUGGUUGGGUGGCCUGUAACAGACUCCCAUGAUAAUGUUUGUCUUAUUGGCCUUCUCUUUGAUUCUGACCCACAAGCUCUCAACCCUGUAAUCACCAACAUUAAUUUCCAGACAUUCACAGUUUUUCUUAGCAUAGAGUGCCACACCACCAUCUUUUCUGCCUUGCUUACCUGUUUUGAAUAGUUGGUAGCCAUCAAUCACAACACUCCAGCUGAGUCAUCCCACCACAUUUCUGUGAUAGCAACUAUGUCAUAGUUUUCCAACAACACAAUGACCUCCAGCUCCUCCUGUUUAUUACCUGUGCUGUGUGCACUAGUGUAAAUGAACCUAAGCUGUGCCACCUUUUGGAUGGGAGAAGCCCUAAUAACAUCUUGACCAUACUCAGGUGUUUUCAUAUAGUAAUCAACCUCACACCAACCUUGUGUUCUUCUUGCAAAAUGGUGUGUCAUCCUCUUCUUUCACUAAGACAAACGACUGUGGGAUCUUACUGGCACAUUCCUUUCCCACAGGCACUAACAUGUAACAUACAGGCUCUUUUCUAGUGACCCCAGUUUCACCCCUACCCCCCUUCAUACCUAGUUUAAAGCUCUAUCAAUGAACCCUGCCAACUCCCACUGUAAAACCCCUUUCCACCUAUGGAAUAAGCUAUUCCUAUUGGUUGCCAGUAGGCCUGGUCUCAUGUAAAUUGAGCCAAGGUCAAAAAACCCAAACCCCUGCUGGGCACACCAGGCUCUAAGCCAAGUAUUUUUUGGCUUAUAACAUUCAGUCCCUCAUCAUUCCCUAUAACUGAAACGAUAGAGGAGAACAUGACUUAUUCUCUUGAACCCCUCACCAGUUUCCCCAAGGCUCUGAAGUCCUUCUUCAUAGUCCUUAGGGAAGUUCUUCUCAUUUCAUCACUGCCUACCUGAAAUAACAAUAGGAGAUAAUAAUCUGAGGGCUGUACUAGGGAAGGCAGUUUCUUUCUUACAUUUUUAGCUUGGGCCCCUGGGAAGCAGCAGACAUACCUGUGUAGUGGGUUUGGUCUGCAUAUUGGGCCUUCUGCUUCCUUCAGCAGUAAGUCACCAAUGACAAUGACCCGUCUUUUAUUCUUUACUGAGGAGGUUUUAAUGCUAAUGGUAGUCUGACUAGACUUCAGUGACACCCCUAAGUGGGAAGAAUCAUCAUCCCCACCGUUGUCUAGUUGUCCCUGUUGUUGUCUCUGUUGCCCAAUUCAUCACCACAGUUUUUAGGAAGAGGAAAGGACAGGGGGCUCACUGUAGCAGGAACACUGUCUGCCAGAUGGUCCCCUCCCAUUAGCUUCUUGCAAGGAGGUAGGGGAUGAUGUUCUUCCUGUGGAGCCUCAGCUGGCUGCCUAAAUCUCAGGGCUGGUAGGGACUGGAGGACAGAUGGAACAAGACACUUUCUAGCAAGACAAACUAGCUGUGAAAUAAUUGCAAGCACUCAGUAUAUUCGACCCCACUCUGCCCAUCGAAUUAGAUGUACACAUAACCAAGGAAGGGUUUGUGUGGGGACUGUAGCAGUGUCAAGUUUCUGUCGAUAUUCCUCAAUUGGGUUCUGGUCCCAGGUCUGGCACAGGGCAGAAGAGAGAUAUAGUAUGAUAGAAAAAGAGUUAUUAGCAAUAUAUUCAGCAUUACAGGCAGUAGAACUGAUGAAGUACACCGCUGAAGUAAAAACAACACUACCCAUUCGAGGUUAGGUAAAAGACUUAGAACUAUUCCUAAGAUGGGGGUGGCCCAAGCACAAUGAGUGGCACGUUGGAUCACCUAUCUGGGUCAAUGUAGUCAUUCAUUAUAAAAGAACUACAAAAGAUAUUGGGCCCAGUGACAUAUCAUGGUGAUGUACCAGAAGAAACCAUGGUCACCCUGCCAGAGAAAAGUCCUGUACUAGAGGGAAAGUAUCCAAUCCCUGAAGAUGCAUGGUGCACGGAUGAGUCCAGCAAAUGCAAUACGAGCAAGGGGUGAGCCAUUGCAUACCAUCUCUCAACAGAAACAAUGUUGUAUGAAAAGGGGAAUGGACAGAGUAGCCAGUGAGCAGAGCUUUAGGCUAUGUGGAUAGUCAUCAUACAAGAACCAAGUGACUAUGCUUUGAACAUCUGCACUGAUAGUUGGGCAGUCUACAGAGUGUUUACAGUAUGGAUAGUGCAGUUGGCCACUUAGAACUGGACGAUUCAUGCCCAACCAAUCUGGGACAAGGAUAUGUAGGUGGAUAUCUGGAACGUGGCCAGGCAUAGGACAGUACAUGCUUACCAUGUAUCUGGACACCAGUCCAUGCACUCGCCAGGAAAUGAUGAAGCAGACACACUCACCUGAAUUAGAUGGUUAGACAAUUCACCUACAGAAAAUAUGGCCCACUGGCUACAUCAAAAACUGCAACAUGUCAGAAAGAAGAUGAUGUGGGCAGUGGCCAAAGAAUGGAGCUGCCUGUACAAACAUCAGAUAUCAUUCAGGCAGAUCAUUAUUGUGAUGCUUGCUCAAGGAUUAUACCAAGACAUUUGCCAGAGGUGACAGCACACCUUGCCGGAGGACACAACCCUUUACAAUGGCAGCAAGUUGACUAUAAAGGUCUCCUCCCUUGAUCUGUGGGGGACAUAUAUGCACUGACCUUUGUUGAUAAGGCAAAUGGGCUGAUAGAAGCCUAUCUGGAACAAAAAGCAAACCAAGCCUAUAUUGUCAAGGCCUUAACCAGAUGAGUGGCAGCAUAUGGGACUCCAGAAAUCACUGAGAGCAAACAGGGUACACAUUUCACAUAAACAGUGGUACAAAAAUGGACUGAAGAAAAUAACAUCAUAUUGAUUCCACCUGCCUUACAAUCUGACUGGAACAAGCCUGAUAUAAAGUUAUAAUGGAAUCUCAAGGCUGCUCUGAAAACAGAAUUGCAGGGCUUGCAGGGAUGGACUGAACAACUUUGUGAAACACUGAGAGAUCUGAACGAGAGACCCAGAGAUGGCAGACCCGCUGCCCUACACAUUCUAUGAACAACUCGAGCAUCUCUUAGGAUACAAAUUAAAGGAAAUAAUACUUCUGUAAAACACCAAACUGGGACAAUGAACAACAUUCUGCUCUCUGCCCCUGAAGAGAGCCAGGUAUACAUAAGAUAAAAUGGCUUUGGGAGGUGCAGAUAGGACUGAAGUGGUGUGACCUACUUGCGCCUUGGGGGAGACUGUAAGAAGUAGGGGGAGCAGUCAUCCCAGAAGUAACUGACCAAUGGCCCUCAGAAAUUAUAAUGCAAACCCUAAUUUUCAUUGCUAAGGGGACACUAAUCAUAUCACUAUGGCAUAUUAGGACUUCCUCCUUUGGUGCCUGAUAGAGUAAUACAACAAUCAGCAUCAGGGAAAAAGGUAUGGUAUGAGAGAUCUGGGCAUGCCACUGUGCAAGCAGAAAUAUUAACUCAAGGCAGAAAUACUGUGUGCAUUCUACCACGGAGAGUGGACUUGCCGAUACUGGUACUGACUGAACACUUCUUCUAUUCCUUAUGAGAUCCAUGGCCCACCAAGACCACCAACAGAGGCAGAAGUGGCAUAAGUGGACACCAAUAUGUCCCAGUGCCACUGAAGGAUCUUCACAACAUCUUGAUCCUGUUCUUCAGUGACGUGUAACAGUGAACUUUUUGAGCAUCUUUCAAACUGAAAAGACAUAAUUGAAAACUCUGGACACUUUAUAUCAUGACAGUAGAAGUUGUAUACACAUCAUAUGAAAUAACAUCUGUUAUGUUAUAAACUGUACAGAAUAGCUUGGCCCUGAUAUGCUCAAUCAUUGGUUCACACCAUGAGGCAGUGGAGUGCAUGGGGAUUGCUAAGUCACAGCCUGAGCCAAUGAUAGAGCACCUGGUAGAAAGCACACAGCCCCCCCAGAGCACAGAUGAAAGCAAUUCACCUGUAUAACUGGAACCAGGUUCCACUCCUCCCUAAGCCUCAUUUAAGGGCUAGCUGGCAUAAGGGAAGGUUUCCUAUCUGGUAGUCCCUUCUUUUGGAGUAUUUGUUAAGCUCUGAUCCUUGGGAUAGUAGGCUGGAUUCUUGAUGAUGCAAGGCUGUUGUGUCAGGGUGCUGCAAAAGAAGUUCCAUCUUCUCAUCAUGGAGCUGGUGAAGUUUCACUCUGCACAGAAUACAGCACUUAUGGAUAGGAAACUUUCUUUGCAUAGUGAUUUUCUUGUUGUCUUUGAAAAUGUUAGUACUCUCAAUUCCAGGUAACUUAAAUGUAAGCAGGGGUUAGAGGAAGAAGGCAGGAAGAAUCCCAUAUGAGAUUCAGAUGUGUCUGAUUUCUGAGAAUUCAGAAUUCUGUGAUUCAACUUCCAGUGGCUAAAUAGAAGCAAUAUCUGAGCUACUCCU